rnacentral:rRNA from 1 species
AACGAACGCUGGCGGCAUGCCUAACACAUGCAAGUCGAACGAGACCUUCGGGUCUAGUGGCGCACGGGUGCGUAACGCGUGGGAACCUGCCCUUAGGUUCGGAAUAACUCCCCGAAAGGGGUGCUAAUACCGGAUAAUGUCUUCGGACCAAAGAUUUAUCGCCUUUGGAUGGGCCCGCGUUGGAUUAGCUAGUUGGUAGGGUAAAAGCCUACCAAGGCGACGAUCAAUAGCUGGUCGGAGAGGAUGAUCAGCCACACUGGGACUGGGACACGGCCCAGACUCCUACGGGAGGCGGCAGUGGGGAAUAUUGGACAAUGGGCGAAAGCCUGAUCCAGCAAUGCCGGGUGAGUGAUGAAGGCGUUAGGGUUGUAAAGCUCUUUUACCCGGGAUGAUAAUGACAGUACCGGGAGAAUAAGCUCCGGCUAACUCCGUG